CUCCUUGGCAUACGAGUCCCUCCGAGUUAUUUUAUUAUUUCCAAGAAACUGUAACUGAGCCUUUUUAUAUACCUGCUGUUGUCGUAAGAGUGCUCACACAUAAAGCAUGUCAACCGAAUCGGAGAAAGGCAUCCUUCAUCUGGUUUACUGUUUCCUUGAGACAGCUGGUCUCUGGGCUUGGUCGGCUGACAGCUUUGAUAGGAUUAUUGAGCACAGCUUUUCAUGCAAAAGAAACCUGGAGACCGGGGCAGUCUGCCCUUGGUUGGUCCAUCCAGGGGGCUGGGGUUGACAGGAGGCUCCUCUCAGCAGACGAGGGUCCGGUGAGCCUGACCCAGAGCCCCCGCAGCUGCUCCUGGGUGCAGCCAACGUGCUGGGCUUGGAGUAAAUGCUUAACUACAGAGACAGCAGCGAGGGUCUCAGGCACCCUUCCCUCUGUGUCUCCAUCCUUCCUGUGGUUCCAGCCCAGCCUCGACUCCCUGUUGGGGCCAGCCAUCUUGCCCCUUCUCCACCAAAGGACCAGCAGACAUGAUGCAUGCCAGGUCCAAAUGGAAAGUUGCAUCCACCGCUUCUGCCCUCUGCUUUGAGAAUAGGAGAGUUCCACGAGGAAGCAGUUCCUUCUGCCUGGGUUCCAGAAUCAGACACAUGGAGCUGGCCCACAGCCACAGGCUCACACCAUGAGGGAAAAUAAAUGUUUGUUGUGGCAAGCCACUGAAAUG
rnacentral:lncRNA from 10 species